rnacentral:rRNA from 1 species
GUGCCAGCCGCCGCGGUAAUACGAAGGGUGCAAACGUUGCUCGGAAUCAUUGGGCGUAAAGCGCACGUAGGCGGCGAUCUAAGUCGGAUGUGAAAUCCCUCGGCUCAACCGAGGACGUGCAUCCGAAACUGGAUUGCUCGAGUAUGGAAGAGGGUCGCGGAAUUCUCGGUGUAGAGGUGAAAUUCGUAGAUAUCGGGAGGAACACCAGUGGCGAAGGCGGCGACCUGGGCCAAUACUGACGCUGAGGUGCGAAAGCGUGGGGAGCAAACAGGAUUAGAAACCCGUGUAGUCC